rnacentral:rRNA from 1 species
UACAGAGGUCCCAAGCGUUGUUCGGAUUCACUGGGCGUAAAGGGUGCGUAGGUGGCGAGGUAAGUCGGAUGUGAAAGCUCGGAGCUCAACUCCGAAAUGGCAUUGGAAACUACCUUGCUAGAGGGUCGGAGGGGGGACUGGAAUUCUUGGUGUAGCAGUGAAAUGCGUAGAUAUCAAGAGGAACACCAGUGGCGAAGGCGAGUCCCUGGACGACUCCUGACACUGAGGCACGAAAACUAGGGGAGACAAAGCA